UCGUACCAGGCCAUUGCAGCGGUGCAGUAUGGGAAAUGCAUCGCCACAGCCGACGACCUGAAGGCACACGAUUGCACGAAGCAGUUCCAGCAGCUGAAAAUUUGCAUCGAGAAGCAUGUGAAACGGCCAUGAAUGCUGCGACAGUUCAAGGCGCUUGUCAAGGUGUCUGUACGGCGAAUGAAUAAACAAUCGUUUCC
rnacentral:lncRNA from 1 species